CUGCUGCCGUCAUGUCACCUGCCCACUUUAUGGUGGGGGCGGCGCCGUACGGCCUGGCGGCGGCAUCGGAAAUCAACGGGUCUGCGCCGUCCACCCAGGACAAGAGCAGGCUGUACAGCUCGGUGACAGGAGCUCCGCAUUCUCCUUCGGGGCUGCAUCAGACGGCCCGCAUCCACACACCAGAACCGCUGACGCCACACACACCGAAGGAAACUGCACCAUCUGCCUCCAAGGCUUUCUUCCAGACCCCAGGCACGCUGGGAAGUGUAGUCAGCUCCGCGCCAGCGGGCCGAAAACGAGGCUCGGCCCAGAGGAGGCUGGAUGUCGGCCGCCCGCCGACCGACCAGCUGGAUGUGUGAGGAGAUGGAGAUGGUUGGCUAACGGGCCGUUUUAACUCAGCUAUUGAUCCUGAAUGUGAAAGAAUGUAGUUUUAAACCAUUGGUGCUUUGUUAAAUUUAGCGGUUUCCUCCUGAAAGGCCGAACUGUAAGCAAAACACCGUCAGUGGAGAACAGCAAUGAACUAAGAUACCAAACAAUUUGGUAUCUGAUAUUUUGCAAUUUACGUUUCUUUUUAAGUCUUAAAACUUUGCUGUUAUUGGUCUUUGUGUCAACAGUCCGCGCGUGCCUCCUGGCUCAGUUACACGACUAGAUUUCAGCGAAUGAGAGAAGUAUUGCUAAUGUCACAGUGCCCUCCUGUGGUCGGAGUUGGUUACUGCUGUUUAUAUUAUAGCCACAAUCCCCCUACCCAGAUGUGAUCAAGCUACCCAAUUCCCUGCAUCCAAUUGCUAUUUAUAUUUUAGUUAAUAUAUGUUAAUUAUACGGACUGUAAUGGAACAUGGACUGUGUUCUUUCAGCACCAAGUAUCUGACAAUGUCCAGCUCAUUUUAAUGGGAUUGUUGCCCGUCGACCCCUUAGCUUGCGUUUCAUCAUCACGGUAGAAUAGAAAUUCUAUUAGCUGCAGAUCACCAGCAGACAAUCCCCUCUUGGCUCAUCUCAGACUUCACUGUAAGGAGAGCAAUCACUAAAGCCUUAAAUGUUUUUAGCCAGCGAGCAUCCCCCCCUGUCCUUGGCCUACUUGAACCCAUCAGGAAGACAAAUUUCACUAGUGCUGUGCAUGUUUUAUCGGUGGUAUCCGCAACCGCUGUGCUGGGAGGUUUAACACCAAACCCUGACGACUGAGGAGGUCAUGUGACCCUGCGCUCAGGUACUUGAAUACUUGUGACUUCAGAGUACUGUAAAGAUGUAUUUUUAAUCUGAAAUGUAUCCAGGUAUCGAUACAUUUGGGAGCUCCCUGUAGGGCUGCGUCCUGCUGUUGGCUGCUGAUGUUGGGAGAGCUAAGUGCCUUACCUGAGGCACCUUGGAGGAGAUAAGAGAACUGUUCAGGGGAUUUCUAUCAUCAGCCCUCUACUCAUAAACUCACUAACUUGCCUCCAGAGAAAAGUACUCGAACUUUGUACAGGAAUCCUUCGGGGGCGUUUAGCGGUGUCACACCAAAGGGUGCACAAAUAAUCCACUGACCAGUGGCUGCUUCUUUGUGAAUGUGCUGUCUGAUGUCUUUUUGUAUAUUAUAUUCAGAUUGCCAUUUAUAUCUUCACGUAGAGAAUGUCAGCUCUUUACUGUAUGUAAGGGCCAAACUGGUGCUGUAUGACUUCCACAAACUUUCAUUAAAGAUGUAUGACUUUUGUUCGUCAUUCCUGUGAUCUCUUUUCUCAAAUAUUAUACUAUUCAGUUUUAUUCUACAAUGGAGGGGGGGGUAAACCCUAAAAUGUCAAGCCAAAUGAUAGUGGAAUUACAGAUGGUUUCAGUUUAUCAAUUUACAGAUGUUUGCAAUAACUUAUUAGGAUACAGAGUGGCCCAGCAGAUGCAAUGCUACGGUGGUCAGAUAACAUCUGUGUCCCACUUCCUGUUGUGUUGCAUGCAGUCAACACUAAAAUGGAGCUGAUGGUUUGUGUGAAGACCGUGUCAUAAUAUUACUACAAGUUAUUCAUUCCUCAAAAGUGCAGUAAAUUUGUUUCCACGCUGAGGUUAAAUUAUUCAUAAUAAAUUAAAUCCCAUUGGGGAUAAACACAUGAAUUGUGAUGUGGUCAGAUUGGGCUCAUUGAGUCAAAUGUAGUAACACACACAUCACUUGUGUGAGGACAUGAUCAUUUGAUCUAAACUUUUAUAUCAGCACUUAAACACUAGAUGUGUUUGGCCCCUGCCAGGCAUUUAUGACACUCAACAUCAGCAGCUGGGACAAUUCACUUCAUACAGAUGGAUAGUUCAGCAAAGUAUCUGCUGUGGCCAGCAACACUACAGGGAGGGCACGCUGUCCCUGUUCACUUUCACAUAUGCACCCAGCGAUGGGCAAAAAUACAUCCAAAUACCUCUCAAAUAAAUGUAUUAAAAUAAAAUGAAAAAAAAACUGGAUUUAAAAAAUAGGAAACUGGUAUCUUAUUAAUGGGACCUUUUGAAAAUGAAAAUAUUGAUAUGUGAAUAGCAUCUUAUCUUAAGCCUAUGCAUACUAUAAAAGUAAAAUAUAGAGCAACACUACAGGUUCAGGCUGGCUGGCUGUAAUCAAGACUGGCCGUGUUCAAUUAGCUGCAUGUAAUUAAUAAUCUAAUUAGGUUGAUUGGCCGACGAAGAAACACGUUUUCAUAUUCCUGAUGUGUUCCAGCUAUUGUUUAUAGCCCCAACAAUUGACCUUGUCACCAUCCAUUUUACAU
ensembl:lncRNA